GGUAUGCGAUUUGUAUGCAGCUUAUGUAAUUAAUUGAAAAUUAUUGUGCAAAUGUCAGGGGCGCUUUGUUAAAGACGCAGCUGCAUUUUCUGACAGCGGAUUAAAGAGUUUUAUACGUACGUACGCCAAUGCCAACUAAUUCAGCUCAGUUGUUCGGCUCGACUCAAAACCUAUUCAAAAAUGCCCAGAAUUAUUCGCACCAUCCAACUGACGCCCACACAUGUUUUGGGGCCACGCCCCUUCGCCAUUGGCCAGUGGCCACGUGUAAAGUGCAAAAGCGCAACAUCAGCGAAAUGGUUCAAAUGCCGAGCGCAGCAGGAAAGCGGGCAAUCCCAGCGACCAGCGACUAGGGCCAACUGAGGGGGCGAGCUAAAGAUUACCGUUAUUUGUAUGCAAAGCAGCAGCCCAAAACCGACAACAACAAC